rnacentral:lncRNA from 1 species
CUGAAACCCACUAAACCCAAGAUGGCCACAAGAGGGACCUCUGGUCGUCCUCACUGCUACACUCCCACCAGCGCCAUGACAGUUUAUAAAUGCCCUGGCAAUGUCAGGAAGUUAGCCUAUGUGGUGGUCUAAAAACAGAAGGCAUGAAUAAUCCACCCCUUGUUUAGCACAUAAUCAAGAAAUAACCGUAAGAAUGUGCAACCAGCAGCCCUUGGGGCUGCUCUGUCUAUGGAGUGGCCAUUCUUUUAUUCCUUUGCUUUCCUAAUAAACUUGCUUUCACUUUACAGACUUGCCCUGAAUUCUUUCUUGCGCGAGAUCUAAGAACCCUCUCUUGGGGUCUGGAUGAGGACCACCUUCCUGUAACAUCUUUCUGGCAACCACAGAAGGGACACAAAGGCUACCUUUGGCUUGGCCCCCAGGGCUAGGGUCCAGCCGCCGGGUCACUAGGACCACUCAAAGAAAGGGAACACAAAAGCCUCACGUGCCAGCAAAAGGGGUCUCUCUGUGUCACCCAGGCUGGAGGUCAAUGACGCCAUCACCUCUCAUUGCCGCCUCAACCUCCUGAGCUCAAAGGAUACUCUCGCCUCAGCUCCUCAAGUAGCUGUAACCACAGUUCUGCUGAUGUAAGCCAUGCUCUGCUGAUCUCAACGGAGUGUACCUAUGCAUCUGCAGUCAGCUGCCACGUAAUCUGCAGCUGGUUUAUCUAGGAUGGCCUCAUUCUUACGUCUUACGUCUGGCAAUUGGAGGUGCACAACAUAGGGGGUGGAGCCAAGAUGGCCGAAUAGGAACAGCUCCAGGCUACAGCUCCCAGCGUGAGCAACGCAGAAGAUGACUAAUUUCUCCAUUUCCAACUGAGAUAGAUGUGAGUAAUAUUGAUGAACGAAGAAAACACAGUAAGACAUCAUGGAAACAUGUUGAUUUAAGUCCUAAUCAUGGAGUUAAGAAACAGUGGCUUUUGAGUAAUGAUGAUAUCAGAACAAGAGUAAGUUAAAAGUACCAGAAAGAAAGUAAUUGAAUUUGUCGUAACUAACUUCUGUCAAUAACUGUCUCUAAAACUUGGCCCUAAUUUACAUAAAUUGUAUUAAAAAUGUUCAAAUACUUGGUUAUAAUCAACUCCAAAACUGCAAAAUACUGCUUUUCUCCUAGUGAUUUAUUAUCUAGGCUUCUAGUCUUUGGAGUGAGUUCAAGGGGUGUGGAGAGGGCUUCUAAAUUGUCAGUGCUUUCAACAGCAUAUGUUGUCUGUGGAAUCCUGAGACCCUUGAUGAUGUAGAAAUUUGUAUUAGAAAUGGGAUCAUACAAAACACCAAACCAAAUCAAAACAAAAGACAGAAUGAAAAAGGAAUCCUACCUUUAGUUAUAAGAAAAAUAUGUCACACUUUCAGAGCACUAAAGUGUAGUCAGUCUGAAUUGCUUCACUCCUGAAUAUAAUAUAUAUAAAUUUUUAUGGUCCUAUUUGAUGUAAGUGAUGUAAUUCUAUAACCUAUUAUUGAUAGUGUUUUUCCUUAUCUGGAUUUUAUAUAGCCAAAGCUAAAAAUGUUCUUGUGAGUUUGAGUUGGUUAAACAAAUAAAUUUGACAUUGAACCAUAUUUCUU